UUGCAGUUAAAAAGCUCGUAGUUGGAUUUCUGGGAGGGUGCCAAUGUCCGCCGACGUGCGUGCGCAGCGGCGCCCUCUCAUCCUUCUGUUAACGUCUCUCGGCAUUCAUUUGCCGGUGGCGGGCUCAGAUAUUUUACCUUGAGAAAAUUAGAGUGUUUCAGGCAGGCUAGGCCGGAAUACAUUAGCAUGGAGUAAUGGAAUAGGACUUCGGUCUCUUUGUUGGUUUGAGGGACUGCAGUAAUGAUUAAUAGGGAUAGUUGGGGGCAUUAGUAUUUAAUUGUCAGAGGUGGAAUUCUCGGAUUUGUUAAAGACUAACUUAUGCGAAAGCAUUUGCCAAGGAUGUUUUCAUUAAUCAAGAACGAAAGUUAGGGGAUCAAAGACGAUCAGAUACCGUCCUAGUCUUAACCAUAAA
rnacentral:rRNA from 1 species